AGUGGCGCACGGGUGCGUAACGCGUGGGAACCUGCCUUUAGGUUCGGAAUAACAGUGAGAAAUUACUGCUAAUACCGGAUAAUGUCUUCGGACCAAAGAUUUAUCGCCUUUAGAUGGGCCCGCGUUGGAUUAGCUAGUUGGUGGGGUAAAGGCCUACCAAGGCGACGAUCCAUAGCUGGUCUGAGAGGAUGAUCAGCCACACUGGGACUGAGACACGGCCCAGACUCCUACGGGAGGCAGCAGUGGGGAAUAUUGGACAAUGGGCGAAAGCCUGAUCCAGCAAUGCCGCGUGAGUGAUGAAGGCCUUAGGGUUGUAAAGCUCUUUUACCCGAGAUGAUAAUGACAGUAUCGGGAGAAUAAGCUCCGGCUAACUCCGUGCCAGCAGCCGCGGUAAUACGGAGGGAGCUAGCGUUGUUCGGAAUUACUGGGCGUAAAGCGCACGUAGGCGGCUUUUUAAGUCAGAGGUGAAAUCCCGGGGCUCAACCCCGGAACUGCCUUUGAAACUGGAAAGCUAGAAUCUUGGAGAGGCGAGUGGAAUUCCGAGUGUAGAGGUGAAAUUCGUAGAUAUUCGGAAGAACACCAGUGGCGAAGGCGGCUCGCUGGACAAGUAUUGACGCUGAGGUGCGAAAGCGUGGGAGCAAACAGGAUUAGAUACCCUGGUAGUCCACGCCGUAAACGAUGAUAACUAGCUGUCCGGGUUCAUAGAACCUGGGUGGCGCAGCUAACGCAUUAAGUUAUCCGCCUGGGGAGUACGGUCGCAAGAUUAAAACUCAAAGGAAUUGACGGGGGCC
rnacentral:rRNA from 2 species